AUUGAACGCUGGCGGCAUGCCUUACACAUGCAAGUCGAACGGUAACGCGGGGCAACCUGGCGACGAGUGGCGAACGGGUGAGUAAUGCAUCGGAACGUGCCCAGUAGUGGGGGAUAGCCCGGCGAAAGCCGGAUUAAUACCGCAUACGACCUACGGGUGAAAGCGGGGGACUCGCAAGAGCCUCGCGCUAUUGGAGCGGCCGAUGUCAGAUUAGCUGGUUGGUGGGGUAAAAGCCUACCAAGGCGACGAUCUGUAGCUGGUCUGAGAGGACGACCAGCCACACUGGGACUGAGACACGGCCCAGACUCCUACGGGUGGCUG
rnacentral:rRNA from 1 species